UUCCGGUUGAUCCUGCCGGAGGUCACCGCUAUUGGAAUACGAUUAAGGCAUGUGAGUCGAGAGUCUUAGGGACUCGGCAGACGGCUCAGUAACACGUAGAUAACCUGCCCUUAGGUGGGGGAUAACCUCGAGAAAUUGAGAAUAAUACCCCAUAGGUCUAGGAUGCUGGAAUGCUUCUAGAUUCAAAGUUCCGGCGCCUAAGGAUAGGUCUGCGGCCUAUCAGGUUGUAGUGAGUGUAACGGACUCACUAGCCGACGACGGGUACGGGCCCUGAGAGGGGGAGCCCGGAGAUGGACUCUGAGACACGAGUCCAGGCCCCAAGGGGCGCAGCAGCUACGAAAACUUCACAAUGCGAGAAACCGCGAUGAGGGAAUUCCAAGUGCUGCAGUAUAACUGUAGCUGUUUAUCUGCCUAGGGAGCAAGUAGAGUCAGGGCUGGGUAAGACUGGUGCCAGCCGCCGCGGUAAUACCAGCAGCCCGAGUGGUGACCACUUUUAUUGGGCCUAAAGCGUCCGUAGCCUGUUUGGUAAACCCUUGGGUAAAUCGAGCAGCUCAACUGUUCGACUUCUGAGGAGACUGCCAGACUUGGGACCGGGAGAGGUUGGAAGUACUUUUGGGGUAGGGGUGNAAUCCUGUNAUNCCAAAAGGACUACCGNNNGCGNAAGCGUNCNACUAGAACGGGUCNGACGGUNAGGACGAAGCCCUGGGUCACGAANCGGAUUAGAUACCCGGGUAGUCCAGGGUGUAAACGCUGCAGGCUUGGUGUUGGGGNUCCUACGAGGGCGUCCAGUGCCGGAGAGANGUUGUUAAGCCUGCCGCCUGGGGAGUACGGUCGCAAGACUGAAACUUAAAGGAAUUGGCGGGGGAGCACAGCAACGGGUGGAGCGUGCGGUUUAAUUGGAUUCAACGCCGGAAAACUCACCGGAGGCGACGGUUAUAUGAAGGCCAGGCUGAUGACCUUGCCCGAUUUCCGAGAAGUGGUGCAUGGCCGCCGUCAGUUCGUACCGCAAGGCGUUCUGUUAAGUCAGAUAACGAACGAGACCCCUCCCCCUAGUUGCCAUCAGAUCCUCAGGGAUGCUGGGCAGGUACUUGUACCUUUACUCUAGGGGUACCGCUGGUGCUAAAUCAGAGGAAAGAAGGGGCAACGGUAGGUCAGUAUGCCCCGAAUCCUCCGGGCUACACGCGCGCUACAAAGGCUAGGACAAUGAGUUUCAAUACCGAAAGGUAAAGGUAAUCUCGAAACCUAGUCAUAGUUCAGAUUGAGGACUGUAACUCGUCCUCAUGAAGCUGGAAUCCGUAGUAAUCGCGGGUCAACAUCCCGCGGUGAAUAUGCCCCUGCUCCUUGCACACACCGCCCGUCAAACCAUCUGAGUUGGGUCUGAGUGAGGAUUCUCCUUCGUGGAGCGUCCGAACUUAGGUUCAGUAAGGAGGGUU
rnacentral:rRNA from 1 species